rnacentral:rRNA from 1 species
AGUGGCGGGAGGGUGGGUAACGCGUGGGUAACCUGCCUCAUACAGGGGGGUAACAGUUAGAAAUGACUGCUAAUACCGCAUAAGACCACAGCACCGCAUGGUGCAGGGGUAAAAACUCCGGUGGUAUGAGAUGGACCCGCGUCUGAGUUAGGUAGUUGGUGGGGGUAACGGCUUACCAAGCCGACGAUCAGUAGCCGACCUGAGAGGGUGACCGGCCACAUUGGGACUGAGACACGGCCCAA